CAGCUCACUUCCCAUUGGGGCUUUCCAUUGGACCGAUUCCAUCAAGUAAUGUAUGACGCUCAUGUUACCGAUACUUACUAUAGCAUGACUAUUUAUCUUUACAACAAUUGAGAUAUAACUUUCCUAACUGUGUUUAUCCUAACCCACCCUCGGCUGUCAACUUUCCCUGUGGGAGGAAACCGGAGCGCCCCUCUCUCCUCUGCAGAGCCUCCUUAAGUAUUUACAAAUAACUUACAUGAAGUUUCCUGAAUAAAAGUGAGCGUGCGCGGUGAUGGUAUUUAGCUCUUCCCAUCACUCCUUGCACGCUCACUUUUCCCUCACUGGAAACUUUGUGUAAGCCUCUGCAGAGGAGAGAGGGGGAACGCCCAGCUGAGAUAACCCACAACUUUCGGCAGAGCGUUGACUGACUCUUUUCACAUGAGUCCGUAGCGAGAAUCAAACCCACAAUCUCAGAGGUGAAAGGCGCUUGCUCUGACUACUGCAAAUUGAGAAAGUGGGAAUUGGGAAAACAAGAAUUGUUUGGAAACACAACACCUGAAGGGUGGAGUGUUUUCACACAAUUUUGAAUUUUCCCAAUUUCCAUGAGUGCUGAUAUAACU